UCUUCUUUCGGUUGUUAUUAGUGUGGAAUUUUGCACAAUGGGCGAAAGCCUGAUGCAGCGACGCCGCGUGCGGGAUGAAGGCCUUCGGGUUGUAAACCGCUUUUGAUUGGGAGCAAGCGAGAGUGAGUGUACCUUUCGAAUAAGCACCGGCUAACUACGUGCCAGCAGCCGCGGUAAUACGUAGGGUGCAAGCGUUAUCCGGAAUUAUUGGGCGUAAAGAGCUCGUAGGCGGUUUGUC
rnacentral:rRNA from 1 species